CCGAUUUCUGAAGGGGAAGGGAGCAGGAGCAGUGACGUCACGGGGCUGGUUUCAGUGGAGACGACGUGCUGGCGUCAAUGUGUUUGUGAGCUCGCAACGUUCCGUUGUCUCCAGGGCAACGUCAGCGAGCCUGCCAAGCCUCGGCAACAGAGCUGGGAUUGGCCGAGCAGGAGCUGGCGCAGAACUUUAGUGUGGGUCGCCUUUAGUCGGGUCUGAACAGGGAAAGAAUCCCUCCUUGCUUAUGUGGCUCAUACUUCAAACACUUGUGCUCUCCAGAGUAUAGCCUCAGCAGUGCCAUCAGACAUGUGAAGUGUUGAAGAUGGAAUUUGUACUCAUGGACACAUCAAAUAGUGCAGUUUUGCAUGCUCAUGCACAUAUAAUUGCAUAUACACAUAGAUCACUCAUGUGUGCUGUGCAUACACACUGACCAAUAAAUGUUUUUGAUAUGUACACACACUUUGUGUCAAGGCAGCAGGCUACAAUUAUUCCAUGCUUUCAUUUAAUAUCCCUGUUGCUAUUUGUUAUUGUGAGUACCUUUUGUAUACAGACAUGCAUUGUGUACCAUUCAUAUAUUAUUUCAUGAAUGGGGGGGGGGGGUAGAAGUUAAUUCUGUGUUGAAAUCAGUAUGAAACCUGUGAUUAGAAUGUCAUGUUUAAUAAUACAUAUGAGUUGUUAGGCUUUUUUUAUUGCUGUGUGUAGGUAGUUGCCAGUUGGUGGUCCCUGAUACCUGUACAACCAAGCGAGUAAAAUUAUUUUGAGAAAACAACCAAGUGAGUAAGAUGGUAAUGCAGUCUAUGUGCAGAUUGCACACUAAUUGUCAUUUAUGAAGGAAUUCUAUAAGGGCAGAAAAACUCUGCUAUGUGUAUGAUAACAUUUGUAUUAUGUAAUAUGUCAUGUGUGCUUUGUGUGGAAGGUAUAUACAACAUAUGCAUAAACGUAUCUUUCCUGCA